CUGAGAUCUGUUCGCAUUCCCAUUAGCCAAGUAACGGCACUAGUAAUGGCCCUUGGACAGCAAUAUUACUUGGAAAUGUUAAUAUGUAUGUGGCACUGCAGGGAAUUUGGAAGAGAAUCUGGUGACGAAAGUGUACAAUGCGAUCCAUGCAACCAGCCUACGAUCUUUUAACUGAGAAAUUCCAGCGACCUUUGCCCGUUUCGUAGCGAGGCGCGGUUGUCCCUCAUUGUCCCUUGGCAAGACCUUUAUGGGGACAUUGACAUAAACAUAAUAUUGACUAAAACAUAACACUCGCUGGAACUAAGCCUGAGUUGAUUCAAUAGUCUUACAUUUGCAACUAAAUGUAUUUGGUUAAAAACAUAUAUAUAUAUAUUGUAAUAAAUGACGU
rnacentral:sRNA from 1 species